rnacentral:tRNA from 1 species
GGCGGGGUAGCUCAGCUGGUAGAGCAUACGGUUCAUACCCGUAGCGUCGAGAGUUCGAUCCUCUCCCCCGCCACCA